rnacentral:rRNA from 1 species
GAUGAACGCUGGCGGCGUGCCUAAUACAUGCAAGUCGAGCGAACAGACGAGGAGCUUGCUCCUCUGACGUUAGCGGCGGACGGGGGAGUAACACGUGGAUAACCUACCUAUAAGACUGGGAUAACUUCGGGAAACCGGAGCUAAUACCGGAUAAUAUAUUGAACCGCAUGGUUCAAUAGUGAAAGACGGUUUUGCUGUCCCUUAUAGAUGGAUCCGCGCCGCAUUAGCUAGUUGGUAAGGUAACGGCUUACCAAGGCAACGAUGCGUAGCCGACCUGAGAGGGUGAUCGGCCACACUGGAACUGAGACACGGUCCAGACUCCUACGGGAGGCAGCAGUAGGGAAUCUUCCGCAAUGGGCGAAAGCCUGACGGAGCAACGCCGCGUGAGUGAUGAAGGUCUUCGGAUCGUAAAACUCUGUUAUUAGGGAAGAACAAAUGUGUAAGUAACUAUGCACGUCUUGACGGUACCUAAUCAGAAAGCCACGGCUAACUACGUG